GAUGAACGCUAGCGGCAGGCUUAAUACAUGCAAGUCGAGGGCUCAGCAAUGGGACCGGCGCACGGGUGCGUAACACGUAUGCAACCUGCCUGUAUCUGGGGGAUAGCCUCUCGAAAGAGAGAUUAAUACCCCAUAGUAUAACUGAAGAGCAUUUUUUGGUUAUUAAAGAUUUAUCGGUUAAAGAUGGGCAUGCGGCUGAUUAGGUAGUUGGUGAGGUAAUGGCUCACCAAGCCAACGAUCAGUAGGGGGUCUGAGAGGAUGUCCCCCCACACUGGUACUGAGACACGGACCAGACUCCUACGGGAGGCAGCAGUAGGGAAUAUUGGACAAUGGGGGCAACCCUGAUCCAGCCAUUCCGCGUGCAGGAAUAAGGCCCUAUGGGUCGUAAGCUGCUUUUGUAUGGGAAAAAAUCAUCUUACGUGUAGGAUGUUGAUGGUACCAUGAGAAUAAGGAUCGGCUAACUUCGUG
rnacentral:rRNA from 1 species